rnacentral:rRNA from 1 species
UACGGAGGAUGCGAGCGUUAUCCGGAUUUAUUGGGUUUAAAGGGUGCGCAGGCGGAAGAUUAAGUCGGUGGUGAAAUUUUGCAGCUCAACUGUAAAAGUGCCAUUGAUACUGGUUUUCUUGAGUGUGGAUGAAGUAGGCGGAAUUUGUGGUGUAGCGGUGAAAUGCAUAGAUAUCACGAGGAACUCCGAUUGCGCAGGCAGCUUACUAAACCAUAACUGACGCUCAGGCACGAAGGCGUGGGGAUCAAACAGGAUUAGA